rnacentral:rRNA from 1 species
CACGUAGGGCGCGAGCGUUGUCCGGAAUUAUUGGGCGUAAAGAGCUCGUAGGCGGCCUGUUGCGUCCGCUGUGAAAGCCCGGGGCUUAACCCCGGGUCGGCAGUGGAUACGGGCAGGCUAGAGGUAGGUAGGGGAGAAUGGAAUUCCCGGUGUAGCGGUGAAAUGCGCAGAUAUCAGGAAGAACACCAACGGCGAAGGCAGCUCGCUGGGACGGUACUGACGCUGAGACGCGAAAGCGUGGGGAGCAAACGGG